rnacentral:rRNA from 1 species
GACGAACGCUGGCGGCGUGCUUAACACAUGCAAGUCGAACGGUGAUGGGUGGAGCUUGCUCUGCUUUGAUCAGUGGCGAACGGGUGAGUAACACGUGAGUAACCUGCCCCAGACUCUGGAAUAACCCCGGGAAACCGGUGCUAAUACCGGAUAUGACACAGAAUCGCAUGGUUUCUGUGUGGAAAGUUUUUCGGUUUGGGAUGGACUCGCGGCCUAUCAGCUGGUUGGUGAGGUAAUGGCUCACCAAGGCGACGACGGGUAGCCGGCCUGGGAGGGCGACGGGCCACACGGGGACUGAGACACGGCCCAGACUCCUACGGGAGGCAGCAGUGGGGAAUAUUGCACAAUGGGCGCAAGCCUGAUGCAGCGACGCCGCGUGAGGGAUGAAGGCCUUCGGGUUGUAAACCUCUUUCAGCUCUGAAGAAGCGAAAGUGACGGUAGGAGCAGAAGAAGCACCGGCUAACUACGUGCCAGCCGCCGCAGUAA